UACGGAGGGUGCGAGCGUUAAUCGGAAUUACUGGGCGUAAAGGGUGCGCAGGUGGUUUAUCAAGUCAUGCGUAGAAUCCCCGGGCUCAACCUGGGAAUGUCGUGUGAUACUGGUGAACUGGAGUACGGGAGAGGGCAGUGGAAUUUCCGGUGUAGCGGUGAAAUGCGUAGAUAUCGGAAGGAACACCGGUGGCGAAGGCGGCUGCCUGGCCUGAUACUGACACUGAGGCACGAAAGCGUGGGGAGCAAACAGG
rnacentral:rRNA from 1 species